rnacentral:rRNA from 1 species
AACGAACGCUGGCGGCAUGCCUAACACAUGCCAGUCGAACGAGACCUUCGGGUCUAGUGGCGGACGGGGGCGUAACGCGUGGGAACCUGCCCUUAGGUUCGGAAUAACUCCCCGUAAGGGGUGCUAAUACCGCAUAGUGUCUUCGGACCAAAGAUUUAUCGCCUUUGGAUGGGGCCGCGUUGGUUUCGCUGGUUGGUAGGGUAAAAGCCGAGCAAGGCGACGAUCCAUAGCUGGUCUGAGAGGAUGACCAGCAACACUGGGACUGAGACACGGCCCAGACUCCUACGGGAGGGAGCAGUGGGGAAUAUUGGACGAGGGGCGAAAGCCUGAUCCAGCAAUGCCGGGUGAGUGAUGAAGGGCUUAGGGUUGUAAAGCUCCUUUACCCGGGAUGAUAAUGACAGUACCGGGAGAAGAAGCUCCGGCUAACUCCGUG